rnacentral:rRNA from 1 species
CCUACGGGUGGCAGCAGUUGGUAAUAUUGCACAAUGGGGGAAACCCUGCUGCAGCGCCGCCGCGUGAGUGAAGCAGUAAUUCGUUAUGUAAAGCUCUAUCAGCAGGGAAGAAAAUGACGGUACCUGAGUAAGAAGCCCCGGCUAACUACUGGCCAGCAGCCGCGGUAAUACGUAGGGGGCAAGCGUUAUCCGGAUUUACUGGGUGUAAAGGGAGCGUAGACGGCAGUGCAAGUCUGGAGUGCAAGGCGGGGGCUCAACCCCCGUACUGCUCUGGAAACUGUACGUCUGGAGUGCAGGAGAGGGAAGUGGAAUUCCUAGUGUAGCGGUGAAAUGCGUAGAGAUAAGGAGGAAAACCAGUGGCGAAGGCGGCUUACUGGACUGUAACUGACGUUGAGGCUCGAAAGCGUGGGGAGCAAACAGGAUUAGAUACCCGAGUAGUC